UACGGCCAUCUCAACUUGAAUCAUCGGUUCCCGUACGUUUACCGCAGUUAAGCGCCAUCGGGCCUGGUCAGUAUGUCGAUGGGUGACCGCUUGGGAUACUAGAUGAUGUAAG